GUGGGGAAUAUUGGACAAUGGGCGAAAGCCUGAUCCAGCCAUGCCGCGUGUGUGAAGAAGGUCUUCGGAUUGUAAAGCACUUUAAGUUGGGAGGAAGGGCAGUAAGUUAAUACCUUGCUGUUUUGACGUUACCGACAGAAUAAGCACCGGCUAACUUCGUGCCAGCAGCCGCGGUAAUACGAAGGGUGCAAGCGUUAAUCGGAAUUACUGGGCGUAAAGCGCGCGCAGGUGGUUCAGCAAGUUGGAGGUGAAAUCCCCGGGCUCAACCUGGGAACUGCCUCCAAAACUGCAUGACUAGAGUACGGUAGAGGGUAGUGGAAUUUCCUGUGUAGCGGUGAAAUGCGUAGAUAUAGGAAGGAACACCAGUGGCGAAGGCGACUACCUGGACUGAUACUGACACUGAGGUGCGAAAGCGUGGGGAGCAAACAGGAUUAGAUACCCCUGUAGUCC
rnacentral:rRNA from 1 species